UCGACCCUUUUCCUCGGGUGGGGGAAACCCCAGUGUGCUUCCCGGGCGGGGAUUUCCAGGCCGCGGCGCGGGGCUGGCGAGCAGACGGGAAGGGAGCGGCCGGAGGGGCAGCGCCGGCAGCGGCGGCCCGGGCCCGCGGAGCCCGAUGUAGCCCGGGCUGGGACAGGCGGGCCCGGCGGUGCCGGCAGCGCGCUCCCACGGCACGGCCGCACUCGCAGCGCCGCUCCCCUCCCCUCCCGGGGCGGGCGGGCCGGGCUCGGCGCAAGCUCCGCGCUUUCACCCUUGCUCCCUGACACCGGCGUACAUCACAGCUGGCUCGGCCGCAUUUCCUAAUAUAGGCAGCUCUGCUGCCUGUAAGAGGGGAAACAACAUGACCGGUGAAAGACUUUGGUCACUUGAAAGCACUGGGGAAGAACAAGAGGAAGACAAAAUAAGACCAUAAAUUUCCACUGGAAGGGUUUAAGACCGUAUCUCUGCAUAUCGAAAUCUGAAAAGUUUCCGCAGCACCUAUCAGAACGCUGACCAAAAGCUCAAAAUGUCCCAGCACAGUCAUGGUCUGGCAUUUCCUAUGAACAAGCAGCAGAUAAGAGAUUUUAAAAAGCCCCGUUUUGUGAUGACAGAUUGGAAGUGGGAUGUUUACACAACUGAGAACUGAAAAGUUAAAACAAGGAAGUGUAACAGCAUUAUGACACUGCCCUUUCACCAACUGCAGCAACCUUCCAAGAUCACAUUCUUGACCUGAAAACCAGUGAGUGGGCGGGUGAAACAAGACCCUCGGCUCUGAGAACUCCUAGCUCUGGAGAGGGGGGAAGAAGGCAUCAUUCAGAUAAAGCUGUCCUCAACCAAAGGAAACCACAGAGGUCAAAGUGCUAAUAAAAAAAAGUGCCGCUGCCACAUUACUAGGGUUUAUGGAAAAUAAACCUUAUGGUACUGUUGACUGAAAUAGUAAAGGUGAGAAAGCAAAUUUCUGGAGGUAGAAGGCAGUGACCUGGCAGCAUGAGUGCGUUAUCACACCCUUGAAGUACCUGAUGCUGCUGCGAGUCCAGAAGUCUUCUCUCAAAGUCCUGCUGAAUUCACAUGUUUGUCCGCCUUUGCCCAGGGGGAGGGAAAUUGAAGUUUCUCUUCAAAACCUCUCUUCAGUGGAGAGGCCUGAUGAGCUUAACAUCCACAGAUUGGGAGUAGCCCGAAGAUGCACGGGAGAUAAGAGAACAUUAAGGAACAUUACCGCUGGUGUAGCCGGAGAUACCUGGUCCAGAUCGAUAAGAGAACCAAAGAAUGAGGACCAGAUUAGCAUCAAAGGCAAAGGAUCAAUAACCAGUAGAUCGAAUACUAGGAGUUGUGUCAUUUAAGACCAAUGAACAUCAACUUCUUUGGGGUUUUUAUAUAUAAAUAUGUGAAAAGUCUGGUAAAGAACCAUGUGAAUGAUUUUCACUGCACAACCUGGGCAUGUGCCAAUGUAAUAAUUUCUGUUGCCUGACCAUAAUAAAGUAAUGCCUGGAUUCUCUAACACUGAAAAGAUGUUGUGGAUUUUCUGUUUUUCCCAUAGUUUCAGUGAAAAGGGCACCUACAUCUACACCAGCAAUAAUGAUUCCUUUUUCUCUUUUUUUAAAUGAAACUUUAUAAAUUGCAUUUGGGCAUAAUACAAAAAAAAAAAAAAAGUCACAAGGGACAAACAUAAUAUCUAGAUAUUUAGGGCAUCCAUGACUCAUUGUGAUAACCCUAAAUGUUCAAGGAAAAAAAAAACAUCUUGCUCCUCCCUUUCUGAAGGUCAGUAUAUUCAAAGUCUGAAAAGUUUCCAUUCCCUUUGCACACAGACAAGUUUUCUUUUUCAUAUCCUCCUACGCAAAGGAUCACGAGUACAAAAGUUUAGGUUUACCUAAAUCAGUUGUGGGCUUUCUUACGUUUAGUGCUCAGAUAAAUUCUCCCGAAAGCCAUAAGUAGUCUCAAGAACAUAUCAAAUUCACACAGAAUAAGUUGAGGCUUUUAAAUCAGUCAGAAACUCUCAUUA